GCUGCCCUUCCUACGGGAGGCAGCAGUGAGGAAUCUUCCACAAUGGGCGAAAGCCUGAUGGAGCAACGCCGCGUGAAGGAUGAAGGUCUUCGGAUUGUAAACUUCUUUUAUAAGUGAAGAAUAUGACGGUAACUUAUGAAUAAGCACCGGCUAACUCCGUGCCAGCAGCCGCGGUAAUAAGG
rnacentral:rRNA from 1 species